UGCAAUGUGGCAUAGUGGUUUGAGUGUUGGACUGUGACUCUAGAGACCAGGGUUUGAAUCCCCAUUCAG
rnacentral:tRNA from 1 species